UAAUUUUAUAUAUAUAUAUAUAUAUAUAUAUAGAGAGAGAGAGAGAGAGAGAGAGAGAGAGAGAGAGAGAGUCCAGCUAUGGUGCUUGUAAAAGCACAAAACAUUUGAUGCUUGUAAGUUUUUUAUCGUUAGAUCUACUUCUCGAAUCAUUUUCAACCAUUAGAUUAUAUAUACUAUUCAACCAACCACCCACUCAACCCUAGGGGGCCCACAUCAUCCUAAUCUCAUAUCUCUUAAUCCAAUGGUUAAAAAUCUACAAGCACCAAUAACUUGGUAUUUUUAAAAGCAUAGGAGCUCAAUUAUGUAUAUAUAUAUAUCCAAAUCAAUUGAAUUUUUGUUAGAAAAUUGUUUAAACUAUUUAAAAUAAGAUCUAUACUCUUGAUCUUGAUUAUAAGACUCCUAUCAUCAUUUUUUAAAGAGUAUUCAUUUUCAGCCAUUCAUUUUUCUGUUCACUUGAUGGAUAAAAGAACAAUAUCGAAAGUGCGUGAAAUUUGAUUUCUAGAUAGUUUAAAUGGUUUAGAUCAUAUUUAACGGAGUCGAUCGUCAAUUUGGAAGCUCUAUCAUCGAAAACAAAUCGGUAGUAAAACAGCUCGUUUACUACCGAUAGUAUUCUAGCUCAACUCUAUAUAUAUAUAUAUAUAUAGUGUAGAGCUACUAUAUAUGGGAAGCAUAGAGCGUUUGAUGCUUCCGAUAUUUUGACCCUUGGAUUAAGAAUUAUACGUUUGGGAUGAUUGCGGUCCCUCCAGAAUUGAGUAGUACCUCUAAGGUUGAGUGGUCCCCACAGGGUAAUAGUAUUAAUCCAAAAGUUAAAAAUGAUUAAAGGGGCUGAUCUAACUCCCAAAAAAUCGGAAGCAUUAGAUUCUCUAUGCUUCCGAUAGUAUAGUAGCUCUACUAUAUAUAUAUAUAUAU
rnacentral:lncRNA from 1 species